UACGGAGGGUGCAAGCGUUAUCCGGAUUCACUGGGUUUAAAGGGUGCGUAGGUGGGUUUGUAAGUCAGUGGUGAAAUCUCCAAGCUUAACUUGGAAGCUGCCGUUGAUACUAUAAAUCUUGAAUGUUGUGGAGGUGAGCGGAAUAUGUCAUGUAGCGGUGAAAUGCUUAGAUAUGACAUAGAACACCAAUUGCGAAGGCAGCUCACUAACACAAAGAUUGACACUGAGGCACGAAAGCGUGGGGAUCAAACAGGA
rnacentral:rRNA from 1 species